UACAGGGGGUGCAAACGUUGCUCGGAAUCAUUGGGCGUAAAGCGCACGUAGGCGGUCUGUUAUGUCGGAUGUGAAAGCCCUUGGCUUAACUGAGGAAGUGCAUCCGAAACUGGCAGGCUAGAGUACUAAAGAGGGUCGCGGAAUUCCCGGUGUAGAGGUGAAAUUCGUAGAUAUCGGGAGGAACACCGGUGGCGAAGGCGGCGACCUGGGUAGAUACUGACGCUGAGGUGCGAAAAGCGGUGGGGGAGCGAACAGGG
rnacentral:rRNA from 1 species